AGUGAACGCUGGCGGUAGGCCUAACACAUGCAAGUCGAACGGCAGCACAGUAAGAGCUUGCUCUUACGGGUGGCGAGUGGCGGACGGGUGAGGAAUACAUCGGAAUCUACUUUUUCGUGGGGGAUAACGUAGGGAAACUUACGCUAAUACCGCAUACGACCUACGGGUGAAAGCAGGGGAUCUUCGGACCUUGCGCGAUUGAAUGAGCCGGUGUCGGAUUAGCUAGUUGGCGUGGUAAAGGCCCACCAAGGCAACGAUCCGUAGCUGGUCUGAGAGGAUGAUCAGCCACACUGGAACUGAGACACGGUCCAGACUCCUACGGGAGGCAGCAGUGGGGAAUAUUGGACAAUGGGCGCAAGCCUGACCCAGCCAUACCGCGUGAGUGAAGAAGGCCUUCGGGUUGUAAAGCCCUUUUGUUAGGAAAGAAAAGCAGCAGGUGAAUCCACCCCUGUUCUGACGGUACCCAAACAGUAAGCCACGGCUAACUUCGUG
rnacentral:rRNA from 1 species